rnacentral:pre_miRNA from 1 species
AGAACGCACACUAAUUAUCCUUGGGGUCAUAGGAUAAACAAAAACCCUGCAAAAACAAGUUAGCACACCUUAGAAUGGUUCUAGCACGGUUACUAACCUAUGGCUCUAAUACCAAUUGAUAAGGAAAACUC